GGUGAACGCUGGCGGCGUGCCUAACACAUGCAAGUCGAUCGGAGCAGCAAUGCUUAGAGGCGAACGGGUGAGGAAAACGUAGUAACCAACCCUUUAGACUGGGAUAGCCACUGGAAACGGUGGGUAAUACCGGAUAAGCUCGAGAGAGGAAAGGCAGAGAAGCGCUAAAGGACGGAACUGCGCCCCAUCAGAUAGUUGGUGAGGUAAAGGCUUACCAAGUCAAAGACGGGAAACCGACGUGAGAGCGUGUACGGUCACAAGGGCACUGAGAGACGGGCCCUACUCCUACGGGAGGCAGCAGUGGGGAAUAUUGGACAAUGGACGAAAGUCUGAUCCAGCGACGCCGCGUGGAGGAAGAAGUCCUUCGGAGUGUAACUACAUGAAGCUAACGAAUAAGACGGAAGGGGAACCGUUACCGGGACGAAGGUAAGUUAGUGAAAAGACCCGGCGUAACUAACGUG
rnacentral:rRNA from 1 species